AAUUAACUAAAAAAAAAUUAGUUAAUUCAUAUAACAUUAGUUUGUCAAACUAAAAUAAUUAAUUUAUCUAAUAUUUUUUA
rnacentral:tRNA from 1 species